GGUAUUAGCGAGCGCCAUUGGCAUUGAUGUGCAGAAAAACGGCAUGUGUAUUCGAGACCAUGCAUUUCUAACGCCUGUUACCCUCUCACAAGUUGUUCAGGUUCCUUGAAUGUGGCACUUAAUAAACCAACAAGGCAAAGUUCAACGUACUAUGGCGUUUCAGAUAAAGUUGUAGAUGGUAAUACUAAUCAGGAUUGGUCUGGGGGAAGUUGUACACAGACUGAUGACGAUAGAGCAACAGAAUGGUUGUGUGUCGAUCUAAAACAGAGUUUUGAUAUCAGUAGUGUGAAGAUAUUUAACAUAUUAGAUGACGAUACUGACACAAUGAUAGAAUUUGAGAUUGGAUUGAGUUCUACUGGUAAAUGUGAUGAAGCAGGUUUUAGAUCAGCUACACCAUGUUAUAAAGACCACACGUCAAAAGGACAAUCUGUAUAUACCAUAGAGAGAUGUAAUCAACCACCUGUACCAUCAUUAUCGGCUAGAUAUGUUUUUGUUUCAACACAUAAAUAUUUGACGUUAUGUGAAGUACAAAUAUUCACAGAAAAUUGUCCUGAUGGAUUUUACGGUACCGAUUGUAACAUUAGAUGUCCAGCGAAUUGUACAAACAACGUCUGUGAGAAAAUGUCAGGAUCAUGUUCUAAUGGCUGUCAAGGAGAUCUUUAUGGUAAAUUCUGUGAGUCUUCAUGCAACACCAGAUGUAAGAAUGGUAAAUGUAAUGCUAGAACUGGGAAAUGCACCGGAUGUAAAGAUGGUUACUAUGGUGAUGUGUGUGAAGAAUCAUGUUCUACCUGUAAUGGUCCAUGUCGACAAUUAGAUGGUGUUUGUUUGACUGGAUGUAAAGAUGGAUAUUGGGGAUGUAAUGGUUUGUGUCUACAGACAUGUUCCUACUGUAAUACAGGAGGCUGUAGAAUAGAAGAUGGCGUAUGUCAUAAUGGUUGUCAAGUUGGUUUCUGCAAUCCGAAAUGCUUCAAUAGAACAAGUCCUUGAAAUUAACCCGAGCAGGCCAUUACCAAGAAAUGAGGGAGGUGAUAAGAAAAUCAACAAUGGUGAAAAACGAAGGAAAAAUAAACAGCUUUAUUGUGAAAAUACAUGUUUCAGUAUUUCAAAUAAAUUUAAUAAGCAUAUACAUGUAAAGUAGAAAUUAUGGCCCAAUUAAAGACUUUGCGACUGGUGGGUAUAAAAUAGAAGUUGGUUAUGAAAAUAUCCCAUGUUUUUGUUUAAUUUUUACUGGUUUUUGUUCUUGCAUUCAAUCAAUAUGAUUAUAUUUAAAGGGAUAAUAACACUCUUGCUGGCUUGAAAUCUCCAGAAAAUAUAUAAUAUCUCUAUCUAAGUACUAGAUGUUUAACUGUCCUACCUGUUGUGUAAAUUAUCCAUUACAUCCUAUUUUACUUGUCCAGAGGGUUCGAAAAUAAUUUUAAAUCGAAGUUUCAUUUGAAAAGGUUUACGUUAGACGUUUCAAACCAUUAUGUUGAAUUUUUCAAAAUUUUUAAAUAAGGUGUGUUAAGAUGAAAUUUGUAUCAUCAAUUAAUUGAAAUAUUCUAAAAUAGCACAAUUUGUUGACCAGAAUAAAGAUUGGGACAUAUUAUUCAGUUACAACAAGAGUGGUAUUGAGCCUUUAAAUACUACGACAAUUUUCUGCACUUAUUGUAUAUUACUGUGAAUACAAUUUAAAUUUUAAGACUUUUAUAACAUAAAUUAAAACGCUUAUCUGAAUAAAA